UGUGAGUGAAGUACUUUCUGUAGUGGA
rnacentral:piRNA from 1 species